AAGAAAAUUCCAUUGCCGGGAUUUGAAUCCGGGUCGCUGUGAAAGCCAGAUAUCCUAGCCGGACUAGACGACAAUGGAUUUUUCUUUACCCGUGUGCAAAAUUUCCUGGUGUUCUCCCUACUGUAGGCCAGGCGCAACCAGUUCUUCCAAAAAUACUAGUUGGUGAAGAGCUUCUGCAGUUGAAGAAUCACGAUAUUUACCUCUGUUACUUUGGGAAUUGGGAGUCGAUUUGUUCUGCAGCGUCAGUUCGAGAAUCCAUGCUGGAUCGUGACAAUUGCCAUGAUAGAAAUGAUAAAAGCAGCAAAUAGUUUGGUGAAGGUUGCUAAUCAACCUGAUGGUGGUGCAAGUCAAACAAAGAGGAAGAGGAUCCAUUGACAGGAAAAGGAUAAACUGGCCCAUUGGCGCUUUGAAGGUGAUAUUUAUAUCAUAUUUAUUCAUUCUUGGUGGAAGUUUGGUGGUUAAAUCGGAUCAUUUUACAUUUGAGGUGCUGACACAUGCGCUCCCCUCCUCUCUUAUGCCUAUUGAGUAUAUUUUUCUCUUAUUUUUGGAUGCUCGCAGAACGUAUAAAAUUUAAGCAUCAAAUGUAGAAAUAUAAGCAUAGAACUUUCUCUUAUCUGAUGGGAAACAUCAUAAUUUCUCUCUCGAAUGUUAUUAGAAGGAAAAGAAGUGGAAGACUAAAUUUUUCUUCCCUUUAGAUAUUCCCCUCUUCCUCGAAUUUUCUCGCAUAGAGGCAACCCUGUAAUCUUUUCUACAAGAUAGGAUCUCUUCUUCCCUCUCUAUAAUGAUCUUAAGCCAUGAGACAAAAAACACUUCAAAGCUCUGUGAUCAUUAUUCUUGUGAGUUCCUUUCACUAAUUAUCUAUGUUCAAAGAAUCUCCGCUUGAUUCUCUUUAAAAUCUGUGAACUCUCGAAUAUAAAGAUUUAGUUGUUCA